CUUUUCUGUGGGCUUGCCUGCGAUGCAGGCACCUCGGUGUUUCAGGUAAACCCAGUUGAUGCCAUCGCAGGCAAGCCCGCUCCCACA
rnacentral:misc_RNA from 1 species